GACCGCAUAGCUCAGUUGGAAGAGCAUUGGGCUAGUAUUCCAAAGGUCGUAGGUUCGAAUCCCACUGUGGCCG
rnacentral:tRNA from 1 species